rnacentral:lncRNA from 1 species
AAUUGCCUCAAGAUAUUUGGAGAAGACAUCACUUCUCUCUUGGGAGAGAAUUCAAAGAGUUGUCAUAACAAUGAGAAGGCUGCAGAUUCUGUCCAGAACACCAAGGAAAGCAGUGCUUUCACAAACUCGUCCUUUGGCCACUGUGCUGGCACUUGGCAGAACAACCAGUGCACAGCUGCACCGUCUGAAAAAUCAGGACAGCUCUUUGGAGUUUCCCUCACGGAUAUAUUUCAUAAGGACAACUUCCCGUUCCCAAUACUGGAUUUUCUUGAAAAUAUCGAAGGAAGUUUACUUUCAUCGGAACUCUAUGAAAAAUGGCUUGAUGUUCUUGACGAAGUGACUGAGGAG